GUGCUUGCUUUGGCAGCACAUAUACUAAAAUUGGGAACGAUACAGAGAAAAUGAGCAUGGCUCCUGAGCGAGGAUGACACACAAAUUCGUGAAGCAUUCCGUAUGUUG